rnacentral:lncRNA from 1 species
AUGGCUCUGUCUCCAAGGAUACUGUUGAUAUUGGAUCAGGAAGCAACAACAUCUAUUCCGGCUCCUCAUCCUGGACUCACCACAGAGACAUACAAGACUUACACAACGAAUCCAGAGAUGCAAUCUAAGGCGUGGAAGCAGAGACAGGGGAAUUUCAUCAGACCGAGAGGCAGACAGAUAAGUGACCAUUUGUGCUUCUGAUACUACUGCCACUCUGAGAGUAAUUCUACUUUCAUACUUGUUGGGACUGAGUUAAAUUUUCUCACGCCUUAUUUUUGGGGGGCUUUUUAAAGGUUACAACUGGACUGGAGGCUUAAAGUUUGACAUAGUUUUAAUGGAAAUUCUCCAACAUAUUGUAAAAAAAAAACCUUAGAGAUUUAUGUGCUGUCAUUUAUAGCACUGUCUGUACACUGAGUAUGAAAUAAGCCCCAUAGCUGAGCUUAGCACAAAGCUUGGGAAGUCAAUGCAGAACAUGUUCAGCACACAAUGUAUUAACCUUUCAUAUAACCAUCUAACAAAGUAAAUGUAUUUUACAGCUAUCCUCCUUCCUCAGGUCUGAGAGGGUGUGGUUUUAUCAUCCAUGAUUAACAAUGGUAAGCGCUGUUUAAACAGUGACUCCAACACUCGCAUCCCAUUUUGAAUCAAAUGGUAAUUAAGUCUGAAACAACAUUCAUGUCCUUUUGUUCAUGGAGACGUUUGCUGUUCCCAUGAAAUCGCAUACAAAGACCAAAUCAAUCAGCUGCCCUGCCCUCUGCCCUACUUAAUGUGAUUUUCAGACAUUUUCCCCAAAAGUUGGCUAUAGUAGUUUUAUCAAAUAUAAUAGCAAGUAAAGCAGGUGGAAGUAGAAGAACACACUACACAGCCAC